CUAUGCGCCUUGCCAGCCCGCUCAGUCAGAGUUUGAUCCUGGCUCAGAAUCAACGCUGGCGGCGUGCCUAACACAUGCAAGUCGAACGCGACUGAGGACUUCGGUUUUCAGUUGAGUGGCGAACGGGUGAGUAACACGUGGGUGAUCUACCUCUGAGUGGGGGAUAACGUUCCGAAAGGAGCGCUAAUACCGCAUGACGUCCUGGGUUUGAAGACCUGGAAACCAAAGUCGGGGACCGCAAGGCCUGACGCUUGGAGAGGAGCCCGCGCCUGAUUAGCUAGUUGGUGGGGUAAUGGCCUACCAAGGCGACGAUCAGUAGCCGGCCUGAGAGGGCGGACGGCCACACUGGGACUGAGACACGGCCCAG
rnacentral:rRNA from 1 species